rnacentral:lncRNA from 1 species
GUAGCUGUGUCGCCGGCGGCUGCGGGGCCUCUGGGUUGCUUUCCCUCUCGCUCCCGAGUGCCGCGAGUUCCAGGCGGUCCCCGGGAUCGCCAGCGGCACAGGGCCCCAGCCCUUCGCCCGCGCAUCGGGAUGGGGGUCCUAGCCGGUGGGAGCUGCCUGUCCCUCGAGCGCCAGCUACCCGCGUUGUCCAGCGCUCCGGCCUCGGCCCGGCCCUCCUGCCUCCUGGCUGUUAGGUUCUGAAUGUUCCGGAAAUGCCACGUGACCGCGAGGGCGCUUGGGCUUGGGCUGGACAGGCCGGGGAUCUCACCGCGGCGGGCCCGGCUGUCCCGCUUGGGCGUCCUCAGUGGAACCGCACACCCUUUCUCAGCGCGCCGGUCGUUUGGUCCUGUAGGGCCGAGGGGAAUUCGUGCGGUGUUGAGCACGCGGGAAGCACUUAACGAAAGGGAGCUGCCCCUCAGCCCUCGUGAGUCCGAUGUAAAGGAGUGAAGGAGACGAAGAACUGAAUCAGUAGUUGACCGCCUGUGAGCUGGCGAGCUGUGCCCUGGUAGGGCCUUAAAUCCCAGCCCCAGAAGUCGGAGGCAGGGCAGGCACCCCAAAGCGUGGAAGAGAUGCACCUGCGGAGUGAAAAUGCUGCUAUUGCUUCUAGGGUCAGCCUUGGUUCCUGGAACAAAGGAGCCGCAUGACUCGGGUCUGGCGAUGAUGUUGGGCUCUGCAGUGUCCUCAUCCUUCCCCCUCUCUGGUUCUGGAGGCUGCAAGCCCAGGUUCAAGGCAUCAGCAGGUGUGGUUUCCUCCGAGGCCUCUCCCCGUGGCUUGCAGAUGGCUGCCUUCUUCCUGCAUCCUCACGUGGUCCCUCCUCUGCACUCCAGCAUCCUUAAUGUCUCUUUGUGUGUCCAACUUUCCGCCCCCCCCCACCCCUUUUUUUUCUGAUGGAGUCCACCCAGACUGGAGUACAGUGGCGUGAUCUCAGCUCACUGCAACCUCCACUUCCUGGGCUCAAGUGAUUCCCCCGCUUCAGCCUCCCGAGUAGCUGGGAUUACAGGCAUGUGCCACCAUGCCUGGCUAAUUUUUGUAUUUUUAAUAGAGAUGGGAUUUCACCAUAUUGGCCAGGCUGGUCUCAAACUCCUGACCUCAAGUGAUCCACCCAUCUCGGCCUCCCAAAGUGUUGAGAUUACAGGUGUGAGCCACUGCGCCCAGCCCCGAACUUUCCUCUUAAAAGGAUAUCAGUCAGGCCAGGCGCAGUGGCUCAUACCUGUAAUCCCUGCACUUUGGGAGGUUGAGGCGGGUGGAUUACUUGAGGUCAGGAGUUGGAGACCAGCCUGGCCAACAUGGUGAAAUCCCGUGUCUACUAAAAAUACAAAAAUUAGCCGGGCGUGGUGGCAGGCGCCUGUAGUCCCAGCCACUCGGGAGGCUGAGGCAGGAGAAUUGCUUGAACCUGGGAGGCAGAGGUUGCAGUCAGCUGAGAUCAUGCUACUGCACUCCAGUCUGGGCAACAGAGCAAGACUCUAUCUCAAAAAAAAAAAAGACACCAGUCAGACUGGAGUAGGGCUCACCCUAAUGGCCUGAUUUUAACUUAAUUACCUCUUUUUUUUUCUUUCUUUUUUUGAGACAGAGUCUCGCUCUGUCACCCAGGCUUGAGUGCAGUGGCGCGAUCUCAGCUCACUGCAACCUCUGUCUCCCGGGUUCAAGUGAUUCUCCAGCCUUAGCCUCCCAAGUAGCUGGAAUUACAGGCGUGUACCACCACACCAAGCUAAUUUUUGUAUUUUUUAGUAGAGACAGGGUUUCUUCAUGUUGGUCAGGCUGGUCUCAAACUCCUGACCUCAGGUGAUACACCUGCCUCGGCCUCCCAAAGUGAUGGGAUUAUAGGUGUGAGCCACUGCACCCAGCCUUAAUUACCCCUUUAAAGGCCCUAUAUGCAAAUACAGUCACAUUCUGAGCUACUGGGGGUUAGGGCUUCAACAUAGGAAUUCAGGCAGACAUGAUUCAGCCCAUAACAAGGGCUUUCACUUUUUUUUUUUUUGUAGAAACAGGGUCUCACUAUGUUGCCCAGGCUACUCUUGAACUCCUGGGUUCAAGUGAUUCUCCAGCCUCAGCCCCCAGAUUAGCUGGGGCUACAGGUGCACCAGCACGCCCAGCUAAUAUUUUUACUUUCAUUUUUUUUAGACGGAGUUUAGCUAUCUUUGCCCAGGCUAGAGUGCAAUAGCGUGAUCUUGGCUCACCACAACCUCUGCCUUCCGGGUUCAAGAAUUCUCCUGCCUCAGCCUCCCAAGUAGCUGGGAUUACAGGCAUGCACCACCAUGACCGGCUAAUUUUGUAUUUUUAGUAGAGACGGGGUUUCUCCAUGUUGGUCAGGCUGCUCUCGAACUCCCGACCUCAGAUGGUCUGCCCGCCUCAGCUUCCCAAGGUGCUGGGAUUACAGGCGUGAGCCACCGCGCCCGGCCAAUAUUUUUUGUGGAGUCAGGGUCCUACUAUGUUUCCCAGGCUGGUCUUGAACUUCCAGGCUCAAGCGAUCCUCCUGCCUUGGCCUCCUAAAGUACUGUGAUUCCAGGCCUGAGCCACAGCACCCUGCUGGCUUUCACUUUUUACUUUAUUUCUAUGUUGUUAAAAUCUAUUACAAUAAACAUUACUUUUAAAGGAUUUUGUGCACUUCAAUCCAAAUGUCCCUGAAGCAUCUACCUCCCUCCUGGGCCUUCUCUGAAGUCAGAGUAGGGGCAGCUGAAGCCCUCCCUCUGCUGGCUCCAGGAACGAAACCCCCUGGCCCACUAAGGCCCUUCCCCUGGGGAGGGUGGCGUGGGAUAAGAACACUCAGUAUCUGUCUGGCCCUCUCAAGAUCACUGAGGACUUUCCCAGACAGCCGACAUGGUCUUCAGAUCAGUCUGCCAAACGUCACAUAGAGGCUGGGCACGGUGGCUCACGUCUGUAAUCCCAGCACUUUGGGAGGGCAACGUGGGUGGAUCACCUGAAGUCAGGAGUUCGAGACCAGGCUGGCCGACAUUGCAAAACCUCGUCUCUACAAAAAUAUAAAAGUUAGCUGGGCGUGGUGGCACGCGCCUGUAGUCCCAGCUACUCGGGAGGCUGAGGCAGGAGAAUCACUUGAACCUGGGAGGCGGAGGUUGCAGUGGACCAGGAUCGUACCACUGCACUCCAGCCUGGCCAACAGAGUAAGACUCCAUCUCAAAAAAAAAAAAAAAAUCAGGUGGAGGGGCAUCCUCUGUUUUCCAGGCUCCUGGUUUAUAGCUGCAAGCUCUGGACAUUUAAUACCUUGUAAUCCAUCCUUCCCUUAUAUACCUCUCAACAUAAUGACUGUACAAUAUGGCCAAUGAAACGGAUAGUAAAAUGAAACAUAGGCAAGUAAUAAAGUGAGAUAUGAAGACAGUAGUACAACCUGGAUGAGGGUGGAAUGCAAAAUUGUCAUCAGAGAAGACGACAGGAGGACCUGAGAGCUGGAGGGACGGACGCUUAUCUACCCAAAUGAGGCUAUAAAAAGUAGAAAGAUGGCAGGGUAAAAAUGGGGGAGGGCUGCCACUUAAGACUCUCAGGAAACAGUGAUGCAUCAGACUUUAUCAUUAAGUCCCAGGGGAGAGGAGUGGAUCUGGGGAUCCCUUUAGAUAUGGUAGAAUUCUCCUGGGUCCUGCUCUGGUCUUAAAUCUCAGACCAGUAGCAGGAAAACCCUAACUGUACUGUGGUCCUGAAUGUCACUGCAACUUCAGCCCUGCUGUGGUGGUGUAUCUGCUCCUCUGGCUGGCUCUGCCACCUUGAAAGGUGAGACCAUGUGGAGCAGAGCCAAGGGGCCUCAGCUGACAGCCAGCACCAACCAUCAGUCAUGUGAGUGAGACCACCUUGGACCCCCAACCCCAGUUGGGUUGUCAGAUGACUAUAGCUGCAGGUACAAGAGUGACCCAGUGACACCAGCAGAUGAACCGGCUAGCUUAGCUCAGCCCAAACUGCUGACUUAGAACUGUUGUUAUGUUAAGCCAGUACAUUUUCAGUGACUCAUUACAAAGCAGUAGAUAACUGUGACAGUCUAAGAGGAUCUAAGUUUGGAAACAGGAUUGAAUAUUUAAGAUAACUGAUUUGCCAGAUUUAUAAGUUUAUUAGUAUAUAAGAGUUGCUUGGCUGGGCACAGUGGCUCAUGCCUGUAACCCUAACACCUUGGAAGGCUGAAGCAGGAAGAUUGCUUGAGCCCAGGAGUUUGAGACCAGCCUUGGCAACACAGUGAGACCCAAUCUCUUAAAAAAAAAAAAAAAAAAAAAAACUCCGUCUCCCUCUCGCUCUCCGUCUCCCUCUCGCUCUCCCUCUCCCCACGGUCUCCCUCUCAUGCGGAGCCGAAGCUGGACUGUACUGCUGCCAUCUCGGCUCACUGCAUCCUCCCUGCCUGAUUCUCCUGCCUCAGUCUGCCGAGUGCCUGCGAUUGCAGGCACGCGCCGCCACGCCUGACUGGUUUUGGUGGAGACAGGGUUUCGCUGUGUUGGCCGGGCCGGUCUCCAGCCCCUAACCGCGAGUGAUCCGCCAACCUCGGCCUCCCGAG